rnacentral:rRNA from 1 species
UACGGAGGGUGCGAGCGUUGUCCGGAAUCACUGGGCGUAAAGGGCGCGUAGGCGGCCUGAUAAGUCGGGGGUGAAAUCCUGAGGCUUAACCUCAGGGCUGCCUUCUAAACUGUCAGGCUCGAGCACAGUAGAGGCAGGUGGAAUUCCCGGUGUAGCGGUGGAAUGCGUAGAGAUCGGGAAGAACAUCAGUGGCGAAGGCGGCCUGCUGGGCUGUUGCUGACGCUGAGGCGCGACAGCGUGGGGAGCGAACAGG